CAGGGGCCGUAGGGUGGGCCGGCGCGUGCUUGUGCGCUUUCCCGCCUCAGCGAGAGCAGGAAAAGAGCCGGCGAGCGGCGGGAAGGAACGCAUGGGCCCGCUCAAGUGUCACUUGAGGAUUAUAAGCAACUGCUAGAAGGAAAAAUAAUGGCUGCAGCCCUCUUCCUGACUCUGCUCACUGCCUCAUCUGUGCUGGUUCAGCCCUACUGUCCCGGUGCAUCUGCUGGGGGAAUACACAGCCCAGCCUUGCUCUGAUGCUCACCAUCACCUCUCCACUUGCCGUCUUCUGAGCGGAAGACAAGAAUAGAUAGCCUGAGUUAAAAUGCAACUUUCAAUAGAUGAUGGCAAAAGUUGUCCACCCACACUUGAUAUGCCCUUCUUCAAUUACUGUUGAGCUAAUAAUCUAAAGGCGUGUUCUUAUGUUCAUAUUGAUUGAUAAGUGUCCACUGACAUGAAUGAAAUAAGAUCAAAUUCAAGGUUGCUGUAAGGUGUACUGGAAUUACUUUAAAAAAAUCAAUAAAAAACCCUUUAACCAUGCUCAAGAGGAAAGGGAUGCUUUUAUACAAACAUCCUUAUUUGAAGUUUAAAUGAAAUUUUUAUACAGAUGGAGGAUUCCAGUUCUACACUUAGCUUCAGGAUUUGGAAAUACCUCAAUGUUUAUUUGGAUCAUCUGGUAGAUACAUGGAAGAACAGUUUGCUUUGCAUUAAGAAUGUAAUUCAUCUGUAUGAAUGCAUAAACUCACUUAACUAGUAAUAUAAAAUUUUCUCAGUUGCACUGUCUGAACUUUUUUUUUGAGGGAGACACUGGCUCGGAUGUUGGGACAUUUAACUGAUCUAUGCCAUCUUUUUUUAAUUCCAAGUUGGUAUAGGAGAUGAACGCAAGAGGGAGCCCACCCCACAGUUUUCUGCAUGGAGAGAAAGAGCUUUACAAAGAUAAUAAAAAGACUUCUACUGAAUGAGAAACUUAGUGUAAAAUCUCCUCUGCCUCUUAGAUGUGGAAGAAAAUAUCAUGGUACUCUAGGACAUUUAUUUACAAACAACUCCAGAAAUUUCUCAAUUCAUUAACUUUUUCAUCUCAAUAUUAUCUCAGUUUUUGAACACUGGGGAGGAUGUGUGAUCUUAUGCACAAUCUUAUCCUUACAUAACGAGACAAUUUAUGGCUCUUCUCUUUCAAAGGGAAAAGGGUCUCAGAUCCUAUGAGCGCAGCAGGAAGGGUUUGUGUUUGUGUGUUUGGGGCAUUCUACUUGUGCCAGCAGUGUGGAGAUGUGAGGUUUUUGAGAUGGGCAGAAAAAGUACUUUUGGUUGUGAAAGCAUAUAUUUUGCGUGUAACUUCCCACUACAUAUCACUAGGCAUGUAAAAUAUGGGUGAUGCCGUGAUAGGUUUUUUAAGCCAUGUGUUUUAACUAUCUAGCUGUGCAUUCAUUGUCAACUGGCAACAGACUGUGUAGCAUUGUGGCAACUUAGAGUUCAUGGCUAUAGUGAUAAUUGAAUUUUAGCCCGCUGAUUUCAUUUCUUCCUCACUAGAUAAAUAGGAUUUAGAACUUAGCGAGGUGCUUGUCUUCUAAGGCAAGUUGCUUAAUGCUGUACCUACACUGAAUGAUGUCCUUACUACCCUAUAUGAAUGGGUUUCUGUCACAAGAUUCUUCGUGAGAGAGGAUGUGCAGGUGGUGGUGCCCACCCAGCUGCCUCCUGUUGAGCUGUCAUGGUGUGAACUUACAUCCAGAAGACAAGAAGUGUUCCCAGUUUUGGUCUGGACUCACCCAAAGUGAGAGUGGAAGUCUGGAUUAGAGUUAGAAGCAUACAUUAGUUCCAGCUGCCUGGCCUUGUAUGCACUGCCCUGGAUACCCGUGUUUGGACAUGCAAUGUUUUUUCCAAAAUUUAUAUUAAUAGAGAACAGUGGGGGGAAAAACUGUUCUGGUAAAAUACUAAAAUGGAGAAUCAAUUCUGAGUGACAGAUUCAUAUUUCAUGUAGCUAUUUGCAAGGGCUUUAGUAUUGAAGACAUUUGAUCUCCUGAUUGCAUUUUAUGUUAGCUUCUUGGUUUAUAUGAUUGUAUGGCAGCUGAUGAGUCAUGGCCCGGACCACUGAUGAUCACCUGAGCAAGGACUGGGUCAGCCCUGGGAGCACAGGAGAAGGCAAUUCAGCUGUGUGACCGGAAGGGGUGGAGCCU